UCUCUCCCUGACCCCCAUUGUCUCAUGGUCCUGAUUUCAGUUAAUGGGUCAUAGGCAUAUAAUAUUGUCACCUUAUGAAAUGUACACAAAAGUAUAGACAUUUUAAAAGACAAUUAAAAUUUCUCCAGCAUCCCAGGACACACCAUACUUUGGAGAAUACUACCCUAGAUGAUAAAACAAUCUCCUUAAAACCAGUUUUCAAGGCCCUCGAUAAUCUUCCUGGCCAACUUCAUUGACACAUCACAUUCCGGACUGCUUAUCUCUCCAGGGCCAUGCUCUAGUUUUUCUCAGCUUUGCGCUUUGCUCUCCCUUCAGCCUGAUGUUCUCACCCCUUCUCCGCUUUGUCUAGCUGGAUCCCAUUUUAUCCAGAAGUUCUACACCCUCCUACCCAUCUUUUCCUUCCCUACCAGGUUUAUAAAGACAGAGAUAUUUUUACAGUGAAAACUGAGGCAGCUGUCCUCUUACUCAAAUGAUCAAACUUAGCAUCACCAACAAUGGAGCAAACUGAUAAUGUACCCUUCUAAUCUUAAUGAUAGCUUGUCAUUUCCUGAUACGUGCCCUUACAUCCCACUGAUGUCUUGCACAUGGCUGUCAUAUUCAGCUAUAUUAAAACUAUAUUAUUUGGGAACCUGGAAGAUUACUUAUGUAAUCUUUCUCCUUACUCCCAUAUUUCCCCCUGUGGCUAUUUUAUUAUUACUUUAAACUCUACCCAAGGGACAAAAGGUGGCAGAAGUGAAGUAAGUGUUGGGUCCUUUUUCCUAUUGGAUUUGAUUAAAAUUUAGAGAAGCAAAGAUAGAAAUUUAAUUGUGAAAAUGACAUUUCGAAUCAUCUGUGUUUUAAUCAUUCUAUUCUUGUUCUUGGUGACAAAAUUUAUACUGAUUAACGAUUAAUUUAGGCAAUCUCUUUGCUUGAUCUUUUGUACCAUCUUCUCAUCCAAAGUUUUUAUUUUUUCAUAUGUUAUAGAUCACUUUACUUCCUAAUAUCCCUGUGCAACAGAUAAAACAGAAGGAAUCCCUACUUAAUAGGCAAUCAAGUUCGUUAAAAGUGUGACUAGGACACAGCUUUCAAAUUUGAAUGUCUUUAGGGCCCAGUGAAACAGUGUGAGGAGGAGUGGUGAGGGCAGCAGUGUGCUUGCUCCACCUGAAGGUAUUCAAAUAUAGUUUUAAAAGAUUGCAUCAGCCAGUGCAAGCUGGCGGUGGCUUCUUUACAACCUCUGGACAAGAUUCUAUCUUGUUCAGGGCUCUUUUUACCACAUUUUUACUUAGAAAUAAGUGCAUUUGUGGAAAAGACAAUAGGAAACUCUCUUUUGUCAAAAUUAUAUUAUCCUACAUGCUGAUGCUAAAUUGCAUACUUGUUACUGUCAAAUUCUCUUACUUGAUGUGCAUGAUGGGAUAAUAAGCUCUUUAUGUUCUAUGUUAAAUGGUGCUUGAAUAUUCUUAUUUACAGUCUGUUUUAAAAUACACUCUUAGUAUUGACACUGCCGAACUGACGUUGUAACAUUUAUCAAAUAAGAACAAAAAUAAGCUUAGAAGUAGAGAGGUACCUGAGGUGCCUGGGUGGCUCAGCCGGUUUUGCGGUUAUGCGUCUGACUUUGGCUUAGUUUGUGAUCUCACAGUUGGUGACCUCAAGCGCUGCCUCAGGCAGAGCCUGCUUAGGAUCCUGUCUUCCUCCCUAUCUGCCCCCCGCCCCACCCCCCGCUUGCACACAUGUGCAUGUGCUCUCUCUAUCCAAACUAAAAAAGAAUAGAGAGGGGUGCCUGGGUGGCUCAGUUGGUUAAGCGUCUGACUGGCUCAGGUCAUGAUGGUUCCUGGGGUUUGAGCCCUGCAUUGGGCUCUGUGCUGACAGCCUAGAGCCUGGAGCCUGCUUCAUGUUGUGUCUCCCUCUUUCUCUGCCCCUCCCCCGCUCACACUCUGUCUCUCUCUCUCUAAAAAAUAA
rnacentral:lncRNA from 1 species